UUGGAAGGCAGCAUAGGAGCUUGCUCCUGAUGGCGAGUGGCGAACGGGUGAGUAAUAUAUCGGAACGUGCCCUAGAGUGGGGGAUAACUAGUCGAAAGACUAGCUAAUACCGCAUACGAUCUACGGAUGAAAGUGGGGGAUCGCAAGACCUCAUGCUCCUGGAGCGGCCGAUAUCUGAUUAGCUAGUUGGUGGGGUAAAAGCCUACCAAGGCAACGAUCAGUAGCUGGUCUGAGAGGACGACCAGCCACACUGGGACUGAGACACGGCCCAGACUCCUACGGGAGGCAGCAGUGGGGAAUUUUGGACAAUGGGGGCAACCCUGAUCCAGCAAUGCCGCGUGAGUGAAGAAGGCCUUCGGGUUGUAAAGCUCUUUUGUCAGGGAAGAAACGGUAGUAGCGAAUAACUAUUACUAAUGACGGUACCUGAAGAAUAAGCACCGGCUAACUACGUGCCAGCAGCCGCGGUAAUACGUAGGGUGCAAGCGUUAAUCGGAAUUACUGGGCGUAAAGCGUGCGCAGGCGGUUGUGUAAGUCAGAUGUGAAAUCCCCGGGCUCAACCUGGGAAUUGCAUUUGAGACUGCACGGCUAGAGUGUGUCAGAGGGGGGUAGAAUUCCACGUGUAGCAGUGAAAUGCGUAGAUAUGUGGAGGAAUACCGAUGGCGAAGGCAGCCCCCUGGGAUAACACUGACGCUCAUGCACGAAAGCGUGGGGAGCAAACAGGAUUAGAUACCCUGGUAGUCCACGCCCUAAACGAUGUCUACUAGUUGUCGGGUCUUAAUUGACUUGGUAACGCAGCUAACGCGUGAAGUAGACCGCCUGGGGAGUACGGUCGCAAGAUUAAAACUCAAAGGAAUUGACGGGGACCCGCACAAGCGGUGGAUGAUGUGGAUUAAUUCGAUGCAACGCGAAAAACCUUACCUACCCUUGACAUGGAUGGAAUCCUGAAGAGAUUUGGGAGUGCUCGAAAGAGAACCAUCACACAGGUGCUGCAUGGGCUGUCGUCAGCUCGUGUCGUGAGAUGUUGGGUUAAGGUCCCGCAACGAGCGCAACCCUUGUCAUUAGUUGCUACGAAAGGGCACUCUAAUGAGACUGCCGUGACAAAUCGGAGAAGGUGGGGAUGACGUCAAGUCUUCAUGUCCUUAUGGCUAGGCUCACAACGUUCAUAACAAGUGUACAUACGAGGGUCCGCCAAAUCCUGGCGAGGGAAGACCUUAUUCCUCAGU
rnacentral:rRNA from 1 species